rnacentral:lncRNA from 1 species
CGGGCAUGAUUCACAGUAAAGGUUAUUUUAGAAGCUUGUUAACACAAUCAGAAAAUACUCCAUCACUUUCUCCAAUAUCCACACAUGGUUGGUCAAGUCCUAUGAUUUAUCAUGAUUUAUAAAAUAUGAAUCCUAGCUACCCUAGCACAGUGCCACCGUGCUAUGAUCCUUGGAGGAAUGAUGAGAAGAGAAGUUCUAUGAUGACAAG